rnacentral:lncRNA from 1 species
GGCUCAAGUGGGAUGAAGUUGGGUAUUUACCUACCCCCAGAUGUGUUAGACUCUGAUAAAACUCCAAUAGUUUAUGCCCUGCCAAAAUAAUUUCUCUUGAGGGUAGGCCUUGUUAAGAAUAGGAUGCUCUGGCUUUUUCACAAUGGUUCCCAUUCCUCUCCCCCUGCUGGAAGCAUAAAGGUAUUUCCCCCAAAGUCACUAUGAGAACCUGGUAGGUCUCCUACUAGAGUUAAAAACCCUCGAAGUAUCAGGACCGUUUCUGUGCCUGGAUCUCCCUGGAGGUUUUAACUAUCAGAAUUGUCCACACUGAGCUUCCAGAAAUUCAACACUGACAAUUUUGGUGUUCCUACCCUGGCCUGAGGUUUCGGCUUGUGGGUUUCUGCUCUCCUAAGUUGUGAUUCUUUGUAUUGGUCUGUAUGUCUCUCUAAUUUGGGGAACAGUGGUUUGCCCCAUGACCUCACUUCUCUGACAGGUGGACAAAGAGUUUUUGAUUUUUCCUUUUGUUCAGCUUUUUACUUGUUGUCAGGAUGGAGUGGCAACUUCCAAGCUCCUUAUAUGUUGGACUGGAAACUGGAAGUUCUGUGAUAUCAUUUUAAUGACAGAAAGAAAUGGAAGGAGUAACAAAGAACUGUUGAAUAAAAAAUACAAUAGUUUAAAAUUCAAAUAUUAUCCUUCUGUAAACUUCAAUUCAAACAUUAUCAAUAUUCAAUUUAAAUAUUAUUCCUCUGUAUGGAGUUUCCAUUAUGGCUCAGCAUUGCUGUGGCUGUGGCAUUGGCCAGCAGCUGCAGCUCUGAAUCAACCCCUAACCUGGGAACUUCCAUGUGCCACAGGUGCGGCCCUAAAAAGAAGAAAAAAAAUUAUUUCCAAUUCCUCUGAUUUAGUAAGAAAAAACAGUUUGUCAAUGCUUCCCUCUAAUUGACCAUAGAGAUUCUCAGCUUGAGAUACAGUCAUGUUUUCUGCUGGCAGAAUAAUAAGGAUUUUGAAUAUAGCUCAGUGGUUAUUAUUCAAUCUGCCUUGAGUCUAAGACCCUGGACACAUUUCUGGGCCCCAGGAAGAGAAAACUAAAUGGCUUUAAGUAAAAACUCAAAGAGCUGUUUCACUAAAAUCUUUAACCCUCUGGAUCCCAAACAUCUUUGGCACUGCAUUCAGAGUAAGUUAGAAAAAUCAGAGGGAGCCAUCUCACCCUCCCUGCUAUGGGCCGCCGUGUAACUUGGGCCCCUUGAGAGCUACGUGUGGUUGUCUCUGGAAAACUCUGCACCUGGCAGAGCUGUAGGAGGGACUGUGAAAUGCAGAGGAACAGCAUGUGAUGGUAUUAAGUUCCCACCAGUGCUCGAUAGGGCAGCAGUAGUCAUCAGCAAAGAAUUGCUUUGUUAGAUAGAACAGUAGGAGAGCAUGGUUUUUUGUAGUUGUUGUUGGAAUUUAAUAGAAUAAAUAUGAUAGACAUUUAAUAUGAGAGAUAUCCUAGGAACACUUGGGGUACUUUGCAAGCAAACAGAAGACUCUACAUCAUCACUAGGCAGUAACUAGGAAGUAAAAUUUAGGCCUUGAUAAAUAUGUGACAUAAUUGUAUUGCCCAAGUGAAAUUUGCCUACAUUGUAUUAAUAUCUACUAAAUAUCUUGAUAUAUAAAUCCUUUCUACCCUUGUUACUAUUAGUAAGAAGCAGCAGAUUUUUUUUUUCUUAGCCUAAAGUCGUUAUCAGUGAAUGAAUGAGGUAAAUAAGUAAAAGAACCUCUGCUAAAAUGACAUAUGCUUAGCUGAUUAGGGGAUAAAGUAAAACUCCUGUUGGCUUACAAUUGUAUCAAAAAGGUAAAAGCAAGCUAGUAUUUAUUACCCAUGUCAUGCUACAUGCUACUUUCAAAAUGAGUUUUGUAUUAGUCUGUACUAAAGAAAGGACUCAUCCUAAUUUCUUUUAAAGAAAUUGAAUCCUCUCCCAAACGCAUUUGAAAAUAAAUGCCAUCCUAAUUUAGAGGCCACCAGCACUAACACUGUUACUUCCAAAUUAGAACACACAAAGGAAAUUUUAAUAGCAUCCAACAGAAAAAAGUUCCAAUUAUAGAACCUAUAAGAAAGAGUUCAUGUGUUUUGGAGGAACAAGGAAAUGAGAUGUUAGAUAAUUGACUAUAAAAUGCUACUUUGCCAUAUUGUCUCCUGAGGAAGAUACUGGAUAGAUGGUUUUCCUUAAAUAGAGAUCAAGUUAUUUUAAGUGGGAUCCCCACUGAUUAUUUUAUUUUAUUUUAUUUAUGUCUUCUGACCUUUUAGGGCUGCAGCCAUGGCACAUGGAAAUUCCCAGGUUAGGGGUCUAAUCGGAGCUGUUGCUGCCAGCCAACGCCAGAUCCGAGCUGCGUCUGUGACCUACACCACAACACCAGAUCUUUAACCCACUGAGCGAGGCCAGGGAUCGAACCCACAACCUCAUGCUUCCUAGUCGGAUUCUUUUCUGCUGCACCACCAUGGGAACUCCCCCACAGAUUAUUUUAAUGUCAUAUUGUUUUAGUUCUAACACUUAACAUUUCCUGAGGAUUCUGAAACACUUAGUUCAAGAAAGAAGACACUAAAAUUUAUAUUACUCAAAGGAAGAAAUGAACAUUGUUUCUUUUUAAAUGGUGAUAAAAAUAAAAUUCCCUGAGCUUUCUGGCUUGUUUGAAAAUCCAUCAUUCUGAUUACUUAAACUAAUUUGGAAGCAGGAACAUUAAAUAUGUGACAGCUUUGAAUUGCCCCUUAAGCUGAAGAAACUCUUAAAAUAUUUAGAGGCAUCUUCUGUCAUGAUUCCUUUUCCCUGAUUUACUCAAUUUUUCCAGACACGUCAGGAAUAGGUAUAGGGCACUUGUUCAUCUUAGCAACAAGUUAAAAUUUCUUCACUGAAAAAAAACUAGUAUAGAAUGUGACAACUAUCUUAUCUCUUAGUUGUUUUUGUCACAAACAUUAUUUUUUAUCAAAAUCCCAACAUUUUUGGUUAUUCUAUUUUUGAAGGAUAGGCUUACUUGAAAGAUUGUGUAUGUUAAUUCUAGUAAAAUGAGAUCUUUGUCAUAAUCAUAAUGUUGGAAGAGGUUUUGGUUCUAGUGAGUAGAUUCACAAUUUCGAACAUUGACCCAACUAGAUCUUUUGACUGGUAAUUAUGGAUGAAAUGUGUCAUGUAGGAUGACAAUGUUAACAACUCCACAUUUUCCACAGUGGCUUAGGCUAUCAAACCUCAUAAAUUUUCUGCACUUCCUUAUGUUUUUUUCAACAAAUCUUCCUGUGUUUUUCAUGAUUUCUUAGCAAGGGACCUCUGGAACACCUCUAUUCCUCUUUCUCAAACACAUUUACCUAAUAUUACAUACUGUAAAGCUCACUAUGCUUAGCAAUUGUUCAGUUAUGGUGUGUCUGAAAAAGACAAAGUCAAAAAUACAGAUCCAAACAUAGAAUAGUCAACUCAAAACUGAAAAAGAAGAGUAAAAUUCGAGGACUCACACUACCAAGUUUCAAAACUUACUAUAAAGCCUCAGUAAUCAAGUAGCAUAAUAUUGACAAAAUAAUAAAUACAUAAAUCAAUGAAACAGACUAUAGAACCCAGAGAUAAAGUGACACAGCUAUAGUCAACUGAUUUUUGACAAAGGUAUAAAGGUAGUUCAAUGAAGAAAAAAAGAGUCUUUUCAACAAAUAUUACUAGAACAAUUGGACAUCCAUAUGCAAAAAAAAAAAAAAAAAA